rnacentral:rRNA from 1 species
AGGACGAACGCUGGCGGCGUGCUUAACACAUGCAAGUCGAGCGGUAAGGCCCUUCGGGGUACACGAGCGGCGAACGGGUGAGUAACACGUGGGUGAUCUGCCUCGCACUCUGGGAUAAGCCUGGGAAACUGGGUCUAAUACCGGAUAUGACCUUACAUCGCAUGGUGUUUGGUGGAAAGAUUUAUCGGUGCGAGAUGGGCCCGCGGCCUAUCAGCUUGUUGGUGGGGUAAUGGCCUACCAAGGCGACGACGGGUAGCCGGCCUGAGAGGGCGACCGGCCACACUGGGACUGAGACACGGCCCAGACUCCUACGGGAGGCAGCAGUGGGGAAUAUUGCACAAUGGGCGAAAGCCUGAUGCAGCGACGCCGCGUGAGGGAUGACGGCCUUCGGGUUGUAAACCUCUUUCGACAGGGACGAAGCGCAAGUGACGGUACCUGUAGAAGAAGCACCGGCCAACUACGUGCCAGCAGCCGCGGUAAUACGUAGGGUGCGAGCGUUGUCCGGAAUUACUGGGCGUAAAGAGCUUGUAUUCUGCUUGUCGCGUCGAUCGUGAAAACUUGGGGCUCAACCCCAAGCUUGCGGUCGAUACGGGCAGGCUUGAGUUCUUUGGGAGACUGGAAUUCCUGGUGUAGCGGUGAAAUGCGCAUAUAUCAGGAGGAACUCCGGUGGCCAAAGGGGGG